UACGAAGGGGGCUAGCGUUGCUCGGAAUCACUGGGCGUAAAGGGGGCGUAGGCGGGUCUUUAAGUUAGGGGGGAAAUCCUGGAGCUCAACUCCAGAACUGCCUUUGAUACUGAAGAUCUUGAGUUCGGGAGAGGUGAGUGGAACUGCGAGUGUAGAGGUGAAAUUCGUAGAUAUUCGCAAGAACACCAGUGGCGAAGGCGGCUCACUGGCCCGAUACUGACGCUGAGGCACGAAAGCGUGGGGAGCAAACAGG
rnacentral:rRNA from 1 species